GAUGGUAGUGUAUUGGACUACCAUGGCUUUAACGGGUAACGGAGGAUUAGGGUUCGAUUCCGGAGAGGGAGCCUGAGAAACGGCUACCACAUCUAAGGAAGGCAGCAGGCGCGUAAAUUACCCAAUCCUGACUCAGGGAGGUAGUGACAAGAAAUAACGGACCGAAGCCUAUGUUUCGGGAUUGCAAUGAGUAGAAUUUAAACCCCUUUACGAGGAUCAAUUGGAGGGCAAGUCUGGUGCCAGCAGCCGCGGUAAUA
rnacentral:rRNA from 1 species